rnacentral:snRNA from 1 species
AUCGCUUCUCGGCCUUUUGGCUAAGAUCAAGUGUAGUAUCUGUUCUUAACAGUUUAAUACAUAUGAUAUAUAUUCAGUCUACAUAGAAUGAAGUAUAAUAUUUCUGCUUUUCAUUUUAAUGAGGUAAGAAAGCAGAGUACCUUUU